UGGACAGAAAACAGCGGUGAAGAGUGAAAGUGACUCCUCUGUCUGAGAAUUUGAAAAACCCGGCGAACAGAGAACGUUCUCAGAACAUUGGCUAACGUUCUCUCAAAGUUCGGAACAAACGUUCUACCACUGUUUGGACUCUCAUUCUUACGGCACCCAUUCACUACAGAGGAUCCAUUGGUGAGCAAGUGAUGUAAUGCUAAAUUUCUCAAAAUCUGUUCCGAUGAACAAACAAAUGAUCUAACCAUCACCUAUCUUAGGCCUGAAGGCAGUAUCAUUGGGAUGGUUGGAGGCUGCUGCUCAGUCUGUUUUGUUUCGGCAUCUUUUUCCCUUGUGCAAAUAGCAUCGUAAGCUCCUUCCUUCCAUUCAUCAAUCCAUCCAUAAGUCCACCCACAUGAAUAAGUAAGUAGGACUUGCUGCAGGACUUGUCAUGGCUUUCUGGAUUGGCAUUAAUGGCUUUUUGUUCCAGAUGCCCAGUUCUGUACAUGUUCUUCCACUUAACUUUACUAACACCGUACCAGCCGCCUCUGAGAACAUCACAGCCGUGCCUGCCGUCAUAGAUACUGCCAUGUGACUUGUAGAUCAGUACCAGCAUGCACUGUAUAGUAUAUGCUUAGGGAAAUAUUAAAUGCUUAUCCUCAUCUUCCAGCAAACCUGUAGGGCUGAAUGGGUUAUAUUCUCUGUACAGCUCCUCCAGAGCACACGGUAAGAUGGUCCUAUGGCUUUAAUUACAGUAAAAUGCAUUGUUGCUUUAGAUGAUUUUACUGUAGUAAACCUGCUUCUAACAGCUCGAUGGUCAUAAAGAAAUUAUUGGAAAUGUAAAGGAGGAUGCUAGAACAGAGGAAGAGUGCCAGUGUCACAUCCAGUGUUUCAUGUGGAGCAUAUAGAAAUAAAAUUAGAAAGGGUUGCCCUGCACACUGAGUAUUUUAAAUAUGAUGUAUGCUGAUGAUGUCAGUAUUACAGAGAUGUGUUCCUGUAAUAAUUUUACCAAGGUGUUCAUUUUUGUAAUAGACUGUAUGCUUCUGUCACAGUUGUAUUGUUUUGUAUGAGUAGUUGCUGUACAUAAAGACCAAAGAAAACUAUUUUUACAA